AUAUCCCUGAGAAGUUUACUUAUUUUCAAUUAAGAAUUUUAUUAUUUAGGGUUUUCAUAGUUUUUUCUACUAAGUAUAUAAGGACGCCAUCGUUUCUCUGAUAAGAUCGAGAGAGCAAGCACAAGAUGAGAGCCAAGGUUUGAUUUUUAUCCUUUCUUUUUAAACCAUUUGGUACUUUACUGUAUUCGUCGUUGCCUUGAGGGAUUGAUCAGUCUGCUGCUAGAAUUUAUGUUGAUCUUUGGGUAUGUUAGAAAUUUGUAAUUUGCUCUGUAUCGUAGUCACUGGCGAGAGACUGGAUCCUUGGAUAGACAGAACCAACUGUGUCAGAUCAAAUUGUUAGGGUUGUGAUUUGCACUCAUGGAAGAAACUGUUGAGAUAUUAUUCAUGUUCGGUUUUUGUUGAAUUUGCGAUUUCAUUUUCUGGAAAUAUAUGUAUGAGACUUUUGUUUGUAACAGAUGAAUUUUGGUCUUUAUCAUUUGGUAGUCUUUAAUAAAUGGUUUUCUGUUAACUUCAUAUUUGCAGUGGAAGAAGAAACGCAUGAGGAGGCUUAAGAGGAAGAGACGAAAGAUGAGACAGCGAUCUAAGUAGUACUCGUCUUCCUAGACAUCGCUCUCACUCUUGUUUCUUGCUUCUCUCAAACAUUCUUCUUUUUUUCUGUUUCCUUCUAAGUUUCAAGACAUUUUUGUUUUAAGAUUUUAAUGAGAGAAUUAUUUCAGACUUUGCUGCUUCGUCAACAUCGCUUACUGCUGUUUAUAUAUAUUUAUCCCACUGAAGAUUUUGGGAUUCCCACUAUGAAGCUUUUGCUGUUUAAUCAGUUACAUGGUUCUUGUUGAUCUAUAAUAUGUGGUUAUAAAACUGAAGCUUACAUGAAUCCUCGUCGUGCACAUAAAAAUGAUAAGAACAGUGAAAAAAAUUGUAUACUAAAGCUUUUAUAUAUGACUAAAAAAAGCCUCAUGGUAUUCCUCUUCUUCUCCUACCC
rnacentral:lncRNA from 1 species